AAUCAACGCUGGCGGCGUGCCUAACACAUGCAAGUCGAACGCGAAAGUGGAGCAAUCCAUGAGUAGAGUGGCAAACGGGUGAGUAACGCGUUGGUGACCUGCCUUCGAGUGGGGGAUAACGUUCCGAAAGGGACGCUAAUACCGCAUGACAUCCGGCCUUUGAAGAGGCGGAGAUCAAAGCUGGGGAUCGCAAGACCUAGCGCUCGAUGAGGGGCCCGCGUCUGAUUAGCUAGUUGGUGGGGUAACGGCUCACCAAGGCAACGAUCAGUA
rnacentral:rRNA from 1 species